rnacentral:rRNA from 1 species
AGCUCCAAUAGCGUAUAUUAAAGUUGCUGCAGUUAAAAAGCUCGUAGUUGGAUCUCGGGACACGGGGCUUGCGGUCCGCCUCAAGGCGGCUACUGCCUGUCUCGGCCCACCUUGUCUGUCACUCCCCUUGGUGCUCUUAAUCGAGUGUCUCGGGUGGGCAGAACGUUUACUUUGAAAAAAUUAGAGUGUUCAAAGCAGGCUCUUAGACGCCGGCAUAAUGUUGCAUGGAAUAAUUGAAUAGGACCUCGGUUCUAUUCUGUUGGUUCUUCGGAACUCGAGGUAAUGGUUAAGAGGGACAGCCGGGGGCAUCCGUAUUGCGGUGGGAGAGGUGAAAUUCUAGGAUCAUCGCAAGACGAACUACAGCGAAAGCAUUUGCCAAGAAUGUUUUCUUUAAUCAAGA